UCGAGAAUUUUUCUCAAUGGGGGAAACCCUGAAGGAGCGACGCCGCGUGGAGGAUGAAGGCUUUCGGGUUGUAAACUCCUGUCAUUUGAGAACAAGGGUAGCUAGGUAACUAUUAGCUAUUUGAUAGUAUCAGAAGAGGAAGAGACGGCUAACUCUGUGCCAGCAGCCGCGGUAAUACAGAGGUCUCAAGCGUUGUUCGGAUUCAUUGGGCGUAAAGGGUGCGUAGGUGGCGCGCUAAGUCAGGUGUGAAAUUUCGGAGCUUAACUCCGAAACUGCAUUUGAUACUGGCGUGCUUGAGGACUGGAGAGGAGACUGGAAUUCACGGUGUAGCAGUGAAAUGCGUAGAGAUCGUGAGGAAGACCAGUGGCGAAGGCGGGUCUCUGGACAGUUCCUGACACUGAGGCACGAAGGCCAGGGGAGCAAACGGGAUUAGAUACCCCGGUAGUCC
rnacentral:rRNA from 1 species